AGCAGCCGCGGUAAUUCCAGCUCCAAUAGCGUAUAUUAAAGUUGUUGCAGUUAAAAAGCUCGUAGUUGAAUUUCGGGGUUCAUAUGUUGGUCGGGCUUUUUGGUCUGUACUGGCGUAAUGGAUUCCUACCUUCUGAAUAACCGGCAUGUCAUUAAUUUGGUGCGCCGGGGAAGCAGGACUGUUACCUUGAAAAAUUAGAGUGCUUAAAGCAGGCUAUCGCCUGAAUACAUUAGCAUGGAAUAAUGAAAUAGGACGGCAUGGUUCUAUUUUGUUGGUUUCUAGGAUCACCGUAAUGAUUAAUAGGGAUAGUUGGGGGCAUUAGUAUUCAAUUGUCAGAGGUGAAAUUCUUGGAUUUAUUGAAGACUAACUUCUGCGAAAGCAUUUGCCAAGGAUGUUUUCAUUAAUCAAGAACGAAAGUUAGGGGAUCGAAGACGAUCAGAUACCGUCGUAGUCUUAACCAUAAACUAUAGACCGACUAGGGAUCGGAACGAAGUUAAUUUUAUAAUGACUACGUUCGGCG
rnacentral:rRNA from 1 species